ACCUGGGUGGCUCAGUGGUUGAGCGUCUGCCUUCAGCUCAGGGCCUGAUCCCAGAGUCGUGGGAUCGAGUCCCACAUCAGGCU
rnacentral:tRNA from 1 species